GUGCCGGGGCAGGUCGCGUAAUCAUCACCCACCAGAGCCAAGGGGCACCGAGGACAGCGUCUGACAUCACGCUGUUCGGGAAGAGAAGCGUCCAGUGAAGGUGUUGGACGGGCGAUCCACCGGAGAUGGAGCACGGAAAUCCAGAGCGGCCUACGGUUUGGAGGUGUGGCAGUGACUGCCGAAGCGGCGCGGUCUGGACCGGCCGCGUGCGGGCCGCGUGAGGCGCCAGUGGCUGGGCAGGCGCCCCGCUCAGCUCGCCCCGGCCGAUCCGUGUGCGACCAACGCCGCUCGAUCCCGCUGAGAACGGCGCCGAGGGACGUCUCCGGCCGGAGCUGGCUUGCGAGCUUGCCGGCGCUGCCUAAGGACUGUGGGGCCUUGUGAUUCUGUGAGGGACAGUUCGGGUGAUGAUGGGGGGUUUGCGUUGCAUAACUUCACUAAUGCAGUUUAAAUAACACCGCCGCGUUUGCAGUUGGUGGGAUGCAACCAUGUUAUUUCAAUUAAUAACCGGAUAAUAAAUGCAUAUCUGAAG